UCACCGCUCACUUCGCUUCUUGGACGCGACGCGCGCACAAGCAUCAGUUCCUGCUGCCCUGGAGACCAGUAGUGUUUGUAGUAACGGCUGCUGCGCCGAAGGCCGCCGCCUCCUCCUCCUCGGUGCGUUGUGUUUCGGUUCGAACUUUUCGGCCGGUGGGAAGCCGCUAACGGGGCGAGAGGCUCUUUCGGCUCCUGUGCAGUCCCAGCCGCGGCGAAGAACCCCGACGGCUGGCGGCGGCGGUAUGAGAAACACAAAUAAAGAGCCCAGAGGACCCUCAAACCGAUAUGCACCAUGUGACUGGUAUUAUCAUGUGCCACUAAAACGAUCAGAGGAACCUGUUAAUUCUGAAGUUCCGCAACAACCCUCAUCCCAGAUCCCAGGCCUUGGGGAUUUUGGAGAUCCUCACAGUGAUAUUACUUUUGGAGGGCGAAGGAAAUGGAUCAAAGACACUGACUCGGAAUAUGUAAAGCUGGCAAAACAAGGAGGCCGACCUGAUUUGUUGAGGCAUUUUACACCUACUCCGCGAAAAGUUUCCCUGGGGUCUUAUGGUGCACCUGAAUGGUACUUGCAGCAUAGCAAGCCAGCAGCAGCUGAUGAGUCUAAAUCUCGGGUUACAACCAUGCCAGACUACAUGAUUCAUGAGGAGUUUAAGACUGAUCAGUCUCCCAGCUAUGAGCCUAAAAGGGGGCCUUUUGAUUUUGACAUGAAAAGUGUUUGGCAAAGAGAUGCUGAGGACAAAGAGAAUAAAGAUAAAAGAGAGGAAAAUGGAGUGCUAGUUGACAGCUCUCCAGGAAGCAUGAAGGAAGAGAUCAAGCUUCCUGCUAUAACACCAAGAUACCCACACAGAAUGCCACAACCUAUUGCAGCUAAAGAAUUCCAUGGAGGAAACAGGCUUUACUUCCCUCCAAUGCCUGCUCACAAAAAAAACGAACCUGUAAACUUUAGCAAACUGAUCAGCAGUGGUUAUGGAGAUGAGUGGCUUCAGCAGCGUGAUGAGUGGGAGAAAAAAUGUUCCCAGCCGAAUGAUUCUCAUCCUCCUCCAAAUUCAGAGACGUCCCAGCCAGAAUCAACACAGACAGACAAUGAGUAAAAGUGGAUACUUCAUAGAUUUGCCACACAUUCUAUUUUUAUUUCAAAACAGCACUGAGUACAAAAAGCUUAAUACAGCUGAGGAAGCAGGCUUCAGUAGUUCUAUGUUUAUAUGUUAGGUUACAUGACUCUAACAAGGAUAUUGAAACAAUGGGACACUUCAUGCCAUUAGUUUUCUGUUUCAGUACGUUUGCAAGUGAUACGAAUUUGGUCCAGUAAUCUAUUCCAGCAAGCUUUUAAAAUACGGGUGCUUGCCAUGCAGUUUAAUACCUUAGUCCUUAUCUUAAGAUGUUGUCUGCUUCUAACGACCGUUAACACUAGCUUCUUCUGAGAUUUGUUCUACAGUCCUGACUUCUAAAGUCAUUCCAGCUAUUUGAGAGUUAGUGAACACUAGCAUUUAUGGAGUCAUAGGACCCUACUAAUAAAUGUUUUGCUAUUACAUAGAACUACGGGAAAGGGUAUAGUGAAACAAAACAAUGAGACCUUUUUAAGAGACAUGCUGUUUGCAAUGUUCCCCCCUGCAAAUGUUGAAUUUGGGAAGUAGAAUGCUGCAAAAUUGGAUUGGUCAUCCAGAAAUAGAAACAUUUCUAUUGUUUCAAAGUCUGUGAUUCUUGAGAGACUUCUAUAUUAGAAUCCUACACUAGAGAUCCAAAUUGACGUGUGUUUCAUAGAAGCUAUGGAUCAAUGCAGGAGAAGCAACAUUUGGCAACAGACUGAAUAAAUCGGAGCAGAGAGGUCAAGAGGAGGACUGAGCAGUAUCUUGUCUUUCCAACUGCCCCUGUGCUGGGGUCCGGAGGAUGCGGUGCGGCUGUUUCCAUCAGAGAGGGGCGCAAGAGAGCGCUCGUCGCUCUGUGCCGCCAUUCCGUUAUGGCAGCCUUCCGGGUUGAUGCUGGCAGGGGGACGCUGGGAGCUGUGGUCCAGCUCCCCAGGAGGUCCCCGGACAGCUGUGGUCUCAACCUUCCUGGAUUCCUGCUUGCGCGGUUGCCAUGGGAAGCACUGAGGUUUGGCUUUGCUAUCGCUGCCUCCAGCUUUCCGGACUCGUAAAACAAAGACGCCAGGGUGCGCGUCCUGUCGUUCAGCAUCAGAGACGAGGGGCCUUUUCCCGGAGGCAGCCUCCUGCGUGCUCCUUGGUCGUCCAAGAGUGGGAUGGCCUGCGGCUUGAAGCGUUCCAGGGAAGGAGAGCCUUUAGGCUUGAUUCUAUAGCCCGAAGCACGACGGUUUCCUUUGGAUGACGCUCCCUGGGAGCUCCCUUUCUGCUCCACCUUUUCUCGCACGAGAACUGUGCGUGUUUAACCCGGUUACGUUCGAUGAGACUUGUCCCUGAGUCCGUGUGCACGUGGCUGCAGGCGUACAGCUCGGGGGAGGGCUCCUUCCUUCCUUUUGUACGAUGUUUAUUGCGAGCUCUGCCAUGCAGCUUUGCCCGUGUUUUCUCCUUUGGUUGCGGAUAAGUCCGAUGGCUUCUGGUACUACUUUGCAGAAGGAGACGAGGGACAAAUGGUCUUCAGAUGAAGAACUGGGAAGUGCAGAAUGCCUCAAAAUGGAGGAGGGAGAGAUGAGGAACAAUUCUCCUUCGAAGUGUUACACUGUUAUCCCAGAAAUAGCAUUCAAAUAUCCAAGGGGGGGAGGUAAAAAGUGUUGAAAUGAAGAGAAAGAAUUCUAACUUCUGUUUGCAUUCAUUUGAUUUCCAUAUUGCCCAGUAGCUGGCACUUUCUUAGCAGUAUAGAACAGCACAUAAAAUAAAAUGCUAUAUAAAAUAGAGAUAAUGAUCAAAACAAUUUAAAGCAGCUGUAGGUAACACAAAUUAAGUCACAAGACUUUUUAAGCAGUUGAUACAAUGCCUCAGUAAAAUAUAAAAUUAACUAUAUACCCCGUGAUAGAGAGCAGUCUUAACCUGCCCCUGAAAAAAUAGCAUAGGCACCAGUAGGGUCACAGUGGGGUGCUUUUGCCAUAAUUGGGGACCUGUCACUGAGAAGGCCUUCCUCCUUGUUGCCACCAACCCAGCCUCCACUGGAGGUGGCAAUCAGAGGCAGGCCCCAGAUCUUGAUGGUACUGUCUAGGUAAACUUUAGUUAGGAGAGGUGUCCCAUCAAGUAUUGUGGUUGUAAGCCAUCAGUGACUUUAUAGGUUCAAACUAGCAUCUUGAAUAAAGCUUAGAAGCACAUACAAUGUAAACAAGGCCAGAACUGGUGUUAUAUAUUCUGACCCUCUGGCUGCUGCAUUUUGCACAGGUUGCAGCUUCUGAAUGGUCUUCAGGGCCAAUCCAGGUAGAGUACAUUGCACAAUCUGGGAGAGUGUGGAUUACUGAAGCCAGGCUAUCCCUGCCUAGAUGAAGGUAUAAAUGGGCCACUGAUCAAAGUUGGUGGAAGGCACUCAGCUUCCAAGGCCACAUGGGCUUCAAGUAACCAAGGUAAAGCAAGGAGAACUCUCCUUGCAUAGAGGGUAAACCCAGCCCCUGAGGAAGCCCAUUCUGGAAAGUCCAAGGGGCAAAGCACUGUUUCCCAAGGACCACUCUCUGGAGCCGGCCAUCCAAGUAGAGGUGAAACCACUGCAAUAUGGCACCCCCUGCUCCCAACCCAGUCAGCCAUUUUGGAAGGAUACUGAAGGAACCUGAUUAGCUUAACUAAUGCUAUUUGCUUUUGUAAAAAGCCGCUUGCAUAGGAGCUUGGUUAGCCUAAUAAACACCAUUUGCUUUUUGUAAAACUGCUUGCUUUGGAGAGGAAAAAGGGGAGGCAAAAGAAUGCUGAUAAAGUAAGACAAAGAGGUAGUGUGAAGAAGAAGACACGAGGUCAGGCAUGCAGUGGACAUGCAGACCCCGCAAGGGGAUUGGGUCAAGGGUCAGGCAGACCCUGAGAGGGGAUUGGGUGAAGGAGCAAUGGGGGCAAGAUUAAGUGAAAAAGGAAAAAAGUAUAAGAAGAGUCAGUUGGAGAAAUGUGUGUGUCGCUUCCUACCAGCGUGUAGGGAGCGGACACCUGGUUGCUUUGCUCAGCUGAAUAAAGAAAACUGAACAAAUCUC